rnacentral:misc_RNA from 1 species
GACGAACCGUGCGAACGUUAUUCGGAAUCACUGGGCUUAAAGCGCGCGUAGGCGGCGUCAUAAGUUGGAGGUGAAAUCCUGCGGCUCAACCGUAGAAUUGCCCCCAAAACUGUGAUGCUUGAGGAAGGUAGGGGCUUGUGGAACUCUCGGUGGAGCGGUGAAAUGUGUUGAGAUCGGGAGGAACGCCAGCGGCGAAAGCGACAAGCUGGAUCUUUUCUGACGCUGAGGCGCGAAAGCUAGGGUAGCGAACGGG